UAACAGGAUUCCCCUAGUAACUGCGAGUGAAGCGGGAAGAGCUCAAAUUUAAAAUCUGGCGUCCUCUGGUCGUCCGAGUUGUAGUCUGGAGAAGCGUUUUCCGUGUUGGACCGUGUAUAAGUCUCUUGGAACAGGGCGUCAUAGAGGGUGAGAAUCCCGUCUUUGACACGGACUACCAAUGCUUUGUGAUGCGCUCUCAAAGAGUCGAGUUGUUUGGGAAUGCAGCUCAAAAUGGGUGGUAAAUUCCAUCUAAAGCUAAAUAUAGGCGAGAGACCGAUAGCGAACAAGUACCGUGAGGGAAAGAUGAAAAACACUUUGGAAAGAGAGUUAAACAGUACGUGAAAUUGCUGAAAGGGAAACGCUUGAAGUCAGUCACGUCUGCCAGGACUCAGCCUCGCUUCUGCUUGGUGCACUUUCUGGUUUGAUGGGCCAACAUCAAUUUCGGCCGUUGGAAAAAGGCAUCGGGAAUGUGGCACCUUUGGGUGUGUUAUAGCCCUUUGUUGUAUACGACGGUUGGGAUUGAGGACUGCAGCACGCCUUCAUGGCCGGGGCUCGCCCACGUACGUGCUUAGGAUGUUGGCAUAAUGGCUUUAAGCGACC
rnacentral:rRNA from 1 species